rnacentral:rRNA from 1 species
CCUACGGGAGGCAGCAGUGGGGAAUAUUGGACAAUGGGGGGAACCCUGAUCCAGCCAUGCCGCGUGUGUGAAGAAGGCCCUCGGGUUGUAAAGCACUUUCAGUGAGGAAGAACGCCUGGUGGUUAAUACCCAUCAGGAAAGACAUCACUCACAGAAGAAGCACCGGCUAACUCCGUGCCAGCAGCCGCGGUAAUACGGAGGGUGCGAGCGUUAAUCGGAAUUACUGGGCGUAAAGCGCGCGUAGGUGGCUUGAUAAGCCGGUUGUGAAAGCCCCGGGCUCAACCUGGGAACGGCAUCCGGAACUGUCAAGCUAGAGUGAAGGAGAGGAAGGUAGAAUUCCCGGUGUAGCGGUGAAAUGCGUAGAGAUCGGGCGGAAUACCAGUGGCGAAGGCGGCCUUCUGGACUGACACUGACACUGAGGUGCGAAAGCGUGGGUAGCAAACAGGAUUAGAUACCCCAGUAGUC